AAACAAUUACCGGUUUUAAGUUCUCUGCCACAUCGGCAGGGCCAAGAGGGAACAGGGUGAGAAUCCCAGGCAGUCGUGCUACUGUAUUUGUUUAGAUCUUUCUGUAACCAUUGUACGGAUCUGUAUGAGAAGGGGAGGGAUCGUGAUUACAUAAGCCAGGAUACCUGCUUAAAGCUGCUACCAGUU
rnacentral:ncRNA from 2 species